rnacentral:lncRNA from 1 species
CCAAGAUCAUCCAGCAAAUCGGCAGCAGAGCUUGUUCGGAAGCAAAUAAGAGAGGCAGCGGCCGGGCGCAGCGGCUCACGCCUGUAAUCCCAGCACUUUGGGAGGCCGAGGGUCAGGCCAACAAGGUGAAGAAACUCUCCAUCGUUGUCUCCCUGGGGACAGGGAGGUCCCCACAAGUGCCUGUGACCUGUGUGGAUGUCUUCCGUCCCAGCAACCCCUGGGAGCUG